UCCGAUAUGGUCUAGUGGCUAGGAUACAUCGCUCUCACCGAUGUGGCCCGGGUUCGAUUCCCGGUGUCGGAA